GCGUGCUUAACACAUGCAAGUCGAACGCUGAAGCUUGGUGCUUGCACUGGGUGGAUGAGUGGCGAACGGGUGAGUAUCACGUGAGUAACCUGCCCCUGACUUCGGGAUAAGCCUGGGAAACUGGGUCUAAUACCGGAUAUGACCAUCUUUCGCAUGUUGGGUGGUGGAAAGUUUUUUCGGUUGGGGAUGGGCUCGCGGCCUAUCAGUUUGUUGGKGGGGUAAUGGCCUACCAAGACGACGACGGGUAGCCGGCCUGAGAGGGCGACCGGCCACACUGGGACUGAGACACGGCCCAGACUCCUACGGGAGGCAGCAGUGGGGAAUAUUGCACAAUGGGGGRAACCCUGAUGCAGCGACGCCGCGUGGGGGAUGACGGCCUUCGGGUUGUAAACCUCUUUCAGUAGGGAAGAAGCCUUUGGGUGACGGUACCUGCAGAAGAAGUACCGGCUAACUACGUGCCAGCAGCCGCGGUAAUACGUAGGGUACAAGCGUUGUCCGGAAUUAUUGGGCGUAAAGAGCUCGUAGGUGGUUUGUCGCGUCUGCUGUGGAAUCGUGCCGCUUAACGGUGCGCGUGCAGUGGGUACGGGCAGACUGGAGUGCAGUAGGGGAGUCUGGAAUUCCUGGUGUAGCGGUGAAAUGCGCAGAUAUCAGGAG
rnacentral:rRNA from 1 species